CAUUGAACAGUAAUGUGAGUUAAAUAAGGAAACACAUAAAUAUUUGACAUAGGUCUCGUGUUUCUCUGACUUCCUCUUCUUCCUCAUUUGGGUUCUUUGAACCAAACCAUCAAACCUCUUUUGGGGGAUUUUCACUUGUGGUGGCCACCAAGUUCAGAAAGGUCUAAAAGAACUGGUGGGAACCUUUUUCCUUGGGGGCAUCUAAAAAUUGUAUCUGGACAAAGUGUUAGAGCCAAGCUUUGGAGUAGACAGACCGGGCCCCUAGGGAGCAAGGCAAGGAAGUGAUGUCAUAGAGUGAUCUCUGGCUCCUCUGGCAGAGGUGACUGGGCAGGACCCAGGGAUCGGGGUGGACAUGUUUGGGAAAUGUGUGUGAGAUCACGUCAGGCCCCGUGGACAUGGUGGAGGAGGGAGGCCUGUGAGAAAGAGGCAGUUGGCUUUGCCCAUCUCGAUCGUGUCCUGAGGAACGCUGGGUCAGGAAAUGCCCAGCGUUUCUUUACUGUUUACUGGACGCCAGACCCACAGAUUUGGAAGGUUGCCUUGGGAGUCAUGAAAAGAUGAAGGGAGAAGGAGGAGGAGCAUUGGUUUUCUGCCUCUUGUGGGACUGCCCUGGAGAUUCAAGAUGGAGUUCUGCAGAAUGGGAUGAGGGUAGGGAAGCCCCAACUGAGAGAACAAAGACAUCAAGUUGAAAGGAGCUCUCAGCUUGGUGGAUGAAAAUGACAGCCACAACACCUGCAAACUCCUCUGUAGGAACUUCAGUGGAGCUGUGUAGCAGAGCACUCUGGAAUGCCAAAGGGAGGAUGGGAAUGAUACUGGGGAAGGCUGCAGUUACAAAUAUUGGAUGCAAGCUUUGGAUGUCUGAGAGGGCCUGGACUUCUGCAAACCACAGUUUCCAUAUCCCCUGUGUAGCUUCAGCCAAGGGGAAGCAGUGGUUGGAUGUUGGAAGGUGGGAGGAAGUGAGAAGAUAUGUUCUUUGUGCAAUUUUUGGGAGUGACUGCAUUUCUGAAGAUUCUAACCUCAGCCACAACAGUUCAGUACCAGCUUGGAAGAACCCUCCCUGGUGGUCCUACAACAGACCCAGAGGUCCCUUCUUCAUGAUUCUAUCGCCCUUUCUGGCACCCCUAGAAAUGCAGUCAUAAGUACAUUCCUGCCCUUGGAUAAUAACAUGCUGUUGUCUCUGUCUGAACCCUUGGAGUAGUAGCUGCUUUCUGCUUUUUCCUAGUCUUCAGCUUACCUCAACUUUUCCUAUUUAUUCUUCUAGCAUUUCCAACACUUUGUAAGUAGUUCAUUGGAUUAAAUCCUCUGAUUUGAAAUAUUAA